GACGAACGCUGGCGGCGUGCUUAACACAUGCAAGUCGAACGGAAAGGCCCUGCUUUUGUGGGGUGCUCGAGUGGCGAACGGGUGAGUAACACGUGAGUAACCUGCCCUUGACUUUGGGAUAACUUCAGGAAACUGGGGCUAAUACCGGAUAGGAGCUCCUGCUGCAUGGUGGGGGUUGGAAAGUUUCGGCGGUUGGGGAUGGACUCGCGGCUUAUCAGCUUGUUGGUGGGGUAGUGGCUUACCAAGGCUUUGACGGGUAGCCGGCCUGAGAGGGUGACCGGCCACAUGGGGACUGAGAUACGGCCCAGACUCCUACGGGAGGCAGCAGUGGGGAAUAUUGCACAAUGGGCGGAAGCCUGAUGCAGCAACGCCGCGUGCGGGAUGACGGCCUUCGGGCUGUAAACCGCUUUCGCCUGUGACGAAGCGUGAGUGACGGUAAUGGGUAAAGAAGCACCGGCUAACUACGU
rnacentral:rRNA from 1 species